UACGUAGGGGGCAAGCGUUGUCCGGAAUCAUUGGGCGUAAAGAGCGUGUAGGCGGCCCGAUAAGUCCGCUGUGAAAGUCCAGGGCUCAACCCUGGGAUGCCGGUGGAUACUGUCGGGCUCGAGUCCGGAAGAGGAGUGUGGAAUUCCUGGUGUAGCGGUGAAAUGCGCAGAUAUCGGGAGGAACACCUAUGGCGAAGGCAGCUCGCUGGGACGGCACUGACGCUGAGACGCGAAAGCGUGGGGAGCAAACAGG
rnacentral:rRNA from 1 species